UGAGUCGACUGAGUGGUUACUCUGAUUUGUCCCGAUUCAUCGGGACGGAUCGGGGAGGAAAGUCCGGGCACCGCAGAACAGGAUGCCUCCUAACGGGAGGAGUUCCAAUUUUACUUGGGAUAUGGAUAGUGCAGCAGAGAGUAGACUUUCCCGAUAUUUAAAUUUCGGGAUAAAGGUGAAACGGUGGUGUAAGAGACCACCAGCUCCGAUAGCAAUAUCGGGGGCUAGGUAAACCCCAUCCGGUGCAAGAU
rnacentral:RNase_P_RNA from 1 species